rnacentral:lncRNA from 1 species
CUGCAGCACUGGCGUUAGUUAACAUGGCAAAUCAUAUGGGUGGGGCAUUGUGAUGUCACAUGGGGGGGCGGCAAACUUUACUUUUGCCUAGGGCGGCAAAAAUCCUUGCACCGGCCCUGGCUGGAGGGGGCUGUGUGAGCUGUGGCCGCACAGUGUCCCAUGGUAGUUAGGGUGCCGUGCGGCCAGUACAGCUCACACAAGCAAACAGCUGAUAAACUGCACGGAGGAAAUGUGUAUGUGUGACUGUCUGCCUGUUACUGUGUGUGACUGUCUGCCUGUAACUGAGUGUGUGAC